AAGAAUUGAAGCUUCGGCAGAAAUUCAUUUCGGAUUAGUGGCAGACGGGUGAGUAACGCGUGAGCAACCUACCUCUUACAAAGGGAUAGCCUCGGGAAACCGGGAUUAAUACCAUAUAACAUUGCGACGAAGCAUUUCGAUGCAAUCAAAGCUACGGCGGUAAGAGAUGGGCUCGCGUCCCAUUAACCAGAUGGUGAGGUAACGGCUCACCAUAGUAACGAUGGGUAACCGGCCUGAGAGGGUGAACGGUCACACUGGAACUGAGACACGGUCCAGACUCCUACGGGAGGCAGCAGUGGGGAAUAUUGCACAAUGGAGGGAACUCUGAUGCAGCGCCGCCGCGUGAGUGAUGAAGGAAUUCGUUUCGUAAAACUCUGUUCUAUGGGAAGAAAAGGACUGUACCAUAGGAGAAAGCUCCGGCUAAAUACGUGCCAGCAGCCGCGGUAAUACGUAUGGAGCGAGCGUUGUCCGGAAUUAUUGGGCGUAAAGGGUGCGCAGGC
rnacentral:rRNA from 1 species